CCCCCGGGCGGCAGGCCUAACACAUGGCAAGUCGAACGGUAACAGGAAGAAGCUUGCUUCUUUGCUGACGAGUGGCGGACGGGUGAGUAAUGUCUGGGAAACUGCCUGAUGGAGGGGGAUAACUACUGGAAACGGUAGCUAAUACCGCAUAACGUCGCAAGACCAAAGAGGGGGACCUUCGGGCCUCUUGCCAUCGGAUGUGCCCAGAUGGGAUUAGCUAGUAGGUGGGGUAACGGCUCACCUAGGCGACGAUCCCUAGCUGGUCUGAGAGGAUGACCAGCCACACUGGAACUGAGACACGGUCCAGACUCCUACGGGAGGCAGCAGUGGGGAAUAUUGCACAAUGGGCGCAAGCCUGAUGCAGCCAUGCCGCGUGUAUGAAGAAGGCCUUCGGGUUGUAAAGUACUUUCAGCGGGGAGGAAGGGAGUAAAGUUAAUACCUUUGCUCAUUGACGUUACCCGCAGAAGAAGCACCGGCUAACUCCGUGCCAGCAGCCGCGGUAAUACGGAGGGUGCAAGCGUUAAUCGGAAUUACUGGGCGUAAAGCGCACGCAGGCGGUUUGUUAAGUCAGAUGUGAAAUCCCCGGGCUCAACCUGGGAACUGCAUCUGAUACUGGCAAGCUUGAGUCUCGUAGAGGGGGGUAGAAUUCCAGGUGUAGCGGUGAAAUGCGUAGAGAUCUGGAGGAAUACCGGUGGCGAAGGCGGCCCCCUGGACGAAGACUGACGCUCAGGUGCGAAAGCGUGGGGAGCAAACAGGAUUAGAUACCGGGGUUUAAAUUCAAAAAAAA
rnacentral:rRNA from 1 species